UUAGUCAGUUCUGUACUCUUUAAUCCACCAACACACAUUAUUCCUUCUAUUUUCUCCUCAGUUGGGUGUUCUCUUACUCUUCAUGUUUCCAGCUUGGUGAAUGUUUCUGUAGAAAGGUUUGGACCUAGCUAUGUUUCCUCCUAUCUCUCUUGGUCAAGUAAUACCACCUGUGUAAUUUCCCUGCUGUGUGUUAAUGCCUUAACUUGCCGACUCUGUCUUCUUUUCUUCUGCAUCCAUCUUCCAUUUGUUCAUGAACUUCUGCCCUUCAAGACACAGAGAAUUUGUAGAACUAUUUCACUCCACGUAUCUGCAAAAAAAUAUGGAUUAGAACAGACGGAACCUGAACAAUGUGCCACCAAGGAAAAAAAAAGCAGAAGCAAAGAAUUUCAAGUUCUAAAAAUUAAAGCAGCUAUGCCUUUACUGCACGUGUAACAAUCACUGAAGGUGCAUUUGGACCUCCAGGGUCAUGAGGAAAGACUGAUCCAACACAGCACUUCAGUGUGGGAGGUGAGUUGGGCAGCUUUUUUCCCGGUACCAUCCCCAAAGCAUCAGAAUAAUAUCCCCAUUAGGACCUCAGCACAUCAGAAGAAACUGAAGUGCAUGAACAGUAAUUUGCAUGGCAGCCAACUUUUAGCUAUUGUGAGCUUCAGUUACCACAUUCCCCCCUUCCACAAGGCAUGAGGAUGCAACACAUUUGUGACAGGGUAAUAUGAGCGCUCCCUCCCUACACAUCACAUGAAUGGUUGAACCCAUCACCACUCACAAAGGAGCAUAUGCAGCUGGGGAAAGCUGAGCCUAGGUAUUUCAGUCCUCUUUGGCAUCAUGAAAUGAGAAAUUCUUAACGCGUGCAGUUCUUGUAGACUGUGAAACAUUUUCACUCAGGACUAUUAAAACCUAGGAUGUGCAGUCUGUGAAUUGUUAUCAGGAGGUGUUCUGCUCAAUGUUUUUGUCCACUUUCUGAUGUAGAAAUGAGAAAGCAAACACAUUUAUUUGUCAAAAUCCUGAAAAUGUGUUCAUGUAAAAUUAAUCAUUUGUAUAGGUGUUUAUGCAGCUGUGCCAAGGAUAAGAUGCAGUUUGUCUUUGAGUAUCUAUUGAACGCAUCAAAAAACAACAACAAAUUCUCUGGAGUAACAAGAGAGUUUACAAGUUAUUACUUCUUUCUCUGCCUCCACUGACCAUAGACUGCACUUUAAUUUUUUAUAGUGUUCUGCUUUGUCCUUCAGUUUAUAAUGUCUUAAUCUCUUUGCUGCACCACUAUGCUAUGUUGUCUAGCUACACCAAGGACAGUCUGCCUCACAACGCCAGUCUUUAGAGAGCUAUUAUCAUUCAUCUUAAAAAAUGUCUCCCAAAAACUAGAGAUUCCUCCUCCUUGACACACCUCUCUUUCAUGAUGAUACAAUUUGUGAACCAUCUUGUCUCCAAAAUGUUUGUACUGUGCAUCUUUUUACAGCGUCUCAUCUCAAGGUUCAGCAGAUUUGAUAUGCUACCCUUCUGGAAACUGCACAAGAACAGAGCAUUUCAAGAAACCCUUUGAACAACCUGCAAGUGAUAUUAUCCAGGAGCUAACCACUACACCAACACGGAGUUAUAAUGUUUUUGAAGACUCUAGGUGCAGAAACCAUUCAGUAUGCUUUCACAUGCCAUACUAAUUGCUAAUUAGAGAACAUCAACAAAUUAGAGAAAGCACAGUGAAAACUGAGUAUUAUGUUUGAAGAGUUAGUCUGUCAGCUUUUCUGAUUACUGGGGAGCAUUUAUCAGUCAUGAACUGCAAGCAUUUUAGAAGAUCAUGCUCUACACAGUCUGCUUACCACUUCAUAUUCAAGUUUCAAAACAGCUGAAAUAGAUUCCACCUAGACAGAACUUUUCUGCCUUGGAAAUCUUGUAUAUUUGUGCAUAUUAGGUACCAUCCUGUUUCCUGGUAUCAGCAGUUGCUAUCAUAAUUUUCUUAUGGGCCAUCAGAACAAAUAAUUUUUAAAAAGCUCUGAUAAAUUAAAUAUCAGUAUUUGAAGGUAUUAAUUCUUCUUUUCUCAUGCCUGCUACUUAUUAAAUUAACUUCUAUUAAGUCAUUUUUAAAUUCUUUUAAAAAUCAUGCUGGGAUAAAUCUGGAAAGGUGAGAAGUGUAUAUGAUGGGUGUAUGUAUGUAUACAGUCUGGGUACAGAUUUGUCAAUCUUGUCAACAUCAUGAUGUGCCAAGAGGCAUUUAUAAUUCAAGUCACUAACAUAACCUCUCCUCCAAAAAAUUAUGUCACCUAAGGUUACACAACAUUAUGUACACAGCAAUUUGGUGUACUGUGGGUCCUGUAUCACUCUUUGGCAGCACUGUUUGGCAGUGCGGUUGGCUACUCCUGCAGCUGUAGUCCCCACUCUUCCAGGCUGUUGAAAACAUUGGUUUUCACUGCAGCUCUUUCCUCACUGAACAUUCAGAUUUAAUUUUAAAGGAAAAGAAGAUGAGUGAGGGCAUGGUGUGCAUACAGGUACCAUUCUGUUAUAGUGUCAUUUAUCAUAUAGCUGAGAUGCAAGCAGUGAUUUGGCUGCGAACAUGCUGAAGAGGACAAAUUAUCUUAAGAGUGAACUCAGGUCAGAUGUUUCUAAACACUCCUGAGCAAAUAUUAGGCAUCUCAAUAGUGUGUGAUGGCCUUGUCUUCCUGCGCUGACUUGACUGAGUAAUGAAUGAUCCCUUAGAUAACAAGAAUUUACCUACAGGCUCUAUAGGAUUCCUAUAUUUAGCUAUAAACAACGGCAGUAAAGGAACAUACUGUAUUUUCCUUCUGCUCCAGUUAGUGUUAAGUGUUACAAAAAUUAACUGAUACAGACUGUUAUAUUCCUUGCACCAAAAUAUUUGUGGACUGUGACAUCGCCAUGUGCCUUGUAACUAGUGAGACAUUUUUUUCCCCUUGUACUUUGCUUCUAAAUAAAGCAACAACUAUUUGCCCUCCUCCCUUUUGU
rnacentral:lncRNA from 1 species